ACCUCUCCGGCACAGGCCUUCGUAAUGCGGGGGUCACAGGUUCGAGUCCUGUAAGCGGCACCA
rnacentral:tRNA from 1 species